UACGAAGGGUGCAAGCGUUAAUCGGAAUUACUGGGCGUAAAGCGUGCGUAGGCGGUUUGUUAAGUCUGCUGUGAAAUCCCCGGGCUCAACCUGGGAAUGGCAAUGGAUACUGGCAAGCUAGAGUGUGUCAGAGGAUGGUGGAAUUCCCGGUGUAGCGGUGAAAUGCGUAGAGAUCGGGAGGAACAUCAGUGGCGAAGGCGGCCAUCUGGAUCAACACUGACGCUGAGGCACGAAAGCGUGGGGGAGCAAACAG
rnacentral:rRNA from 1 species